rnacentral:rRNA from 1 species
CCUACGGGAGGCAGCAGUAGGGAAUCUUCCACAAUGGGCGAAAGCCUGAUGGAGCAACGCCGCGUGGGUGAAGAAGGUCUUCGGAUCGUAAAACCCUGUUGUUAGAGAAGAAAGUGCGUGAGAGUAACUGUUCACGUUUCGACGGUAUCUAACCAGAAAGCCACGGCUAACUACGUGCCAGCAGCCGCGGUAAUACGUAGGUGGCAAGCGUUAUCCGGAUUUAUUGGGCGUAAAGGGAACGCAGGCGGUCUUUUAAGUCUGAUGUGAAAGCCGUCGGCUUAACCGGAGUAGUGCAUUGGAAACUGGAAGACUUGAGUGCAGGAGAGGUGAGUGGAACUCCAUGUGUAGCGGUGAAAUGCGUAGAUAUAAGGAAGAACACCAGUGGCGAAGGCGGCUUUCUGGUCUGUAACUGACGCUGAGGCUCGAAAGCGUGGGUAGCAAACAGGAUUAGAUACCCUAGUAGUC